rnacentral:rRNA from 1 species
GAGAGUAAAACAGUACGUGAAAUUGUUGAAAGGGAAACGAUUGAAGUCAGUCAUGCCGGCGUUGGAUUCAGCUUGCUUCGCGGAGCGGGCGCAUUUCCUCGCAUGGCAGGUCAGCGUCAGUUUUGCGCGGCGUGAAAAGGCUCGGGUAAGGUAGCUCUCUUCGGGGAGUGUUAUAGACCUGGGCAGAUGCGCUGCGCGGGACUGAGGAUUGCAGCGGACACCUCUUCGGGGGCGCGGCGACCGAACCCUGCUCGGCCACCCGAGUUCGAUAGCGUGCUAACGGACGCGGGAGCGGCAGUGCACCGGAACAGGCAAGCCAGCGGUUCGCUUAGGAUGCUGACGUAAUGGCUUUAAACGA